rnacentral:rRNA from 1 species
CGGAACGUACCUUUCAGUGGGGGAUAACGUAGCGAAAGUUACGCUAAUACCGCAUAUUCUGUGAGCAGGAAAGCAGGGGACCGCAAGACCUUGCGCUGAUUGAGCGGCCGAUAUCAGAUUAGCUAGUUGGUGAGGUAAAGGCUCACCAAGGCGACGAUCUGUAGCGGGUCUGAGAGGAUGAUCCGCCACACUGGAACUGAGACACGGUCCAGACUCCUACGGGAGGCAGCAGUGGGGAAUUUUGGACAAUGGGGGCAACCCUGAUCCAGCCAUGCCGCGUGAGUGAAGAAGGCCUUCGGGUUGUAAAGCUCUUUCGGCCGGGAAGAAAUCGUAUGGGUUAAUACCCUGUGCGGAUGACGGUACCGGCAUAAGAAGCACCGGCUAACUACGUGCCAGCAGCCGCGGUAAUACGUAGGGUGCGAGCGUUAAUCGGAAUUACUGGGCGUAAAGCGUGCGCAGGCGGUUUUGUAAGACAGGCGUGAAAUCCCCGGGCUCAACCUGGGAACUGCGCUUGUGACUGCAAGGCUAGAGUACGGCAGAGGGGGGUGGAAUUCCACGUGUAGCAGUGAAAUGCGUAGAGAUGUGGAGGAACACCAAUGGCGAAGGCAGCCCCCUGGGUCGAUACUGACGCUCAUGCACGAAAGCGUGGGUAGCAGACAGGAUUAGAUACCCUGGUAGUCCACGCCCUAAACGAUGUCAACUAGGUGUUGGGUGGGUAAAACCAUUUAGUACCGGAGCUAACGCGUGAAGUUGACCGCCUGGGGAGUACGGCCGCAAGGUUAAAACUCAAAGGAAUUGACGGGGACCCGCACAAGCGGUGGAUGAUGUGGAUUAAUUCGAUGCAACGCGAAAAACCUUACCUACCCUUGACAUGUCCAGGAGCCUGAAGAGAUUUGGGUGUGCCCGAAAGGGAACUGGAACACAGGUGCUGCAUGGCUGUCGUCAGCUCGUGUCGUGAGAUGUUGGGUUAAGUCCCGCAACGAGCGCAACCCUUGUCGUUAAUUGCCAUCAUUUAGUUGGGCACUUUAACGAGACUGCCGGUGACAAACCGGAGGAAGGUGGGGAUGGCGUCAAGUCCUCAUGGCCCUUAUGGGUAGGGCUUCACACGUCAUACAAUGGUCGGUACAAAGGGUCGCCAACCCGCGAGGGGGAGCCAAUCCCAGAAAGCCGAUCGUAGUCCGGAUCGUAGGCUGCAACUCGCCUGCGUGAAGUCGGAAUCGCUAGUAAUCGUGGAUCAGCAUGUCACGGUGAAUACGUUCCCGGGUCUUGUACACACCGCCCGUCACACCAUGGGAGCGGGUUCCGCCAGAAGUAGGUAGCCUAACCGCAAGGGGGGCGCUUACCA